rnacentral:rRNA from 1 species
GACGUUACCUACAGAAGAAGCACCGGCUAACUCCGUGCCAGCAGCCGCGGUAAUACGGAGGGUGCGAGCGUUAAUCGGAAUUACUGGGCGUAAAGCGCAUGCAGGCGGCCUGUUAAGUCAGAUGUAGAAAGGCCCGGGGUCUUAACCUCGGUAAUUGCUAUUUAGAAACUGGCAGGCUAGAGUCUUGUAGAGGGGGUAGAAUUUCAGGUGUAGCGGUGAAAUGCGUAGAGAUCUGAAGGAAUACCAGUGGCGAAGGCGGCCCCCUGGACAAAGACUGACGCUCAGAUGCGAAAGCGUGGGGAGCAAACAGGAUUAGAUACCCUGGUAG